rnacentral:rRNA from 1 species
AGAGUUUGAUCAUGGCUCAGGAUGAACGCUGGCGGUAUGCAUUACACAUGCAAGUCGUACGAAAACUUCGGUUUUAGUGGCAAACGGGUGAGGAAUACAUGAGAAUCUACCUUUAAGAGGAGGAUAACAAUUGGAAACACUUGCUAAAACUCCAUACGCCUCUGGGUGAAAAAGUGUAAAACUGCUUAAAGAUGAGCUCAUGUCUGAUUAGCUAGUUGGUGAGGUAAUGGCUCACCAAGGCGACGAUCAGUAGCUGGUCUGAGAGGAUGAUCAGCCACACUGGAACUGAGACACGGUCCAGACUCCUACGGGAGGCAGCAGUGGGGAAUUUUCUGCAAUGGGCGAAAGCCUGACAGAGCAAUACCGCGUGAGGGAAGAAAGCCUACGGGUUGUAAACCUCUUUUCUCAAGGAAGAA